rnacentral:rRNA from 1 species
UACAGAGGGUGCGAGCGUUAAUCGGAAUUACUGGGCGUAAAGCGCGCGUAGGCGGCUUUGCAAGUCGGGUGUGAAAUCCCCAGGCUUAACCUGGGAACUGCAUCCGAGACUGCAUAGCUAGAGUAUGGGAGAGGGAAGUGGAAUUUCAGGUGUAGCGGUGAAAUGCGUAGAUAUCUGAAGGAACAUCAGUGGCGAAAGCGACUUCCUGGACCAAUACUGACGCUCAUGUGCGAAAGCGUGGGGAGCAAACAGGAUUAGAAACCCCCGUAGUCC